AGAGUUUGAUCAUGGCUCAGAUUGAACGCUGGCGGUAUGCUUAACACAUGCAAGUCGGACGGCAGCAUGAUGUGUAGCAAUACACAUUGAUGGCGAGUGGCGGACGGGUGAGAAACGCGUAGGAAUCUGCCUUAUAGAGGGGGACAACUGGAGGAAACUCCAGCUAAUACCGCAUAAAGUCGAGAGACCAAACGCUGGGUGGCAACACCUGGCGCUAUGAGAGGAGCCUGCGUCCGAUUAGCUAGUUGGUAGGGUAAAGGCCUACCAAGGCGAUGAUCGGUAGCUGGUCUGAGAGGAUGAUCAGCCACACUGGGACUGAGACACGGCCCAGACUCCUACGGGAGGCAGCAGUGGGGAAUAUUGGACAAUGGGGGCAACCCUGAUCCAGCAAUACCGCGUGUGUGAAGAAGGCCUUCGGGUUGUAAAGCACUUUAGGUUGGGAAGAAGAUGCGUAGUUUAAGAGAUGACGCAUUUGACUGUACCGACAGAAUAAGCACCGGCUAACUCUGUGCCAGCAGCCGCGGUAAUACAGAGGGUGCAAGCGUUAAUCGGAGUUACUGGGCGUAAAGGGCGCGUUGGUGGUUGUGUAAGUGAGACGUGAAAGCCCCGGGGCUUAACCUGGGAAUGUCGUCUUAAACUGCAUGACUGGAGUACUGUAGAGGGUAGUGGAAUUUCCGGUGUAGCGGUGAAAUGCGUAGAGAUCGGAAGGAACACCAGUGGCGAAGGCGGCUACCUGGACAGAUACUGACACUGAGGCGCGAAAGCGUGGGGAGCAAACAGGAUUAGAUACCCUCGUAGUCC
rnacentral:rRNA from 1 species